rnacentral:rRNA from 1 species
CCGACGGUGAGGGACGAAAGCUGGGGGCACGAACCGGAUUAGAUACCCGGGUAGUCCCAGCCGUAAACGAUGCUCGCUAGGUGUCUGGGAUGGUGCGACCGUUUCAGGUGCCGCAGGGAAGCCGUGAAGCGAGCCACCUGGGAAGUACGGCCGCAAGGCUGAAACUUAAAGGUAUUGGCGGGGGAGCACUACAACGGGUGGAGCCUGCGGUUUAAUUGGACUCAACGCCGGAAAACUCACCUGGGGC